CAGUCGCCGCGGGAAUACGAAGGGGGCUAGCGUUGCUCGGAAUGACUGGGCGUAAAGCGUGCGUAGGCGGCUUUUUAAGUCGGAUGUGAAAUCCCUGAGCUUAACUUAGGAAUUGCAUUCGAUACUGGGAAGCUAGAGUAUGGGAGAGGAUGGUAGAAUUCCAGGUGUAGCGGUGAAAUGCGUAGAGAUCUGGAGGAAUACCGAUGGCGAAGGCAGCCAUCUGGCCUAAUACUGACGCUGAGGUACGAAAGCAUGGGGAGCAAACAGGAUUAGAUACCCGAGUAGUCCCUGUCUCUUAUAC
rnacentral:rRNA from 1 species